UACGGAGGGUGCAAGCGUUGUCCGGAUUUAUUGGGUUUAAAGGGUGCGUAGUCGGCCCGUUAAGUCAGCGGUGAAAUCCCAGGGCUCAACCCUGGAACUGCCGUUGAUACUGGCGGGCUUGAGUUCGGUCGAGGCGGGCGGAACUGGUGGUGUAGCGGUGAAAUGCAUAGAUACCACCAAGAACCCCGAUUGCGUAGGCAGCUCGCUAGGCCGAAACUGACGCUGAGGCACGAAAGCGUGGGGAGCGAACAGG
rnacentral:rRNA from 1 species